GGAGAAACACACACGGGCGGGCGGAGGGGACCCGGGGCGAGUCAUCAAGGGCGCGUGGUUCGGCGUGCCAGGCGCGCUGCUCUGCCUGCUCUCUUGGCUUCUGUCUCCCUUCGACCGAUCGCCCCCUAUCCUGAAGCUUUCCAAUGUCAUCUUGGAGCCCCAAAGUUUCCUGGGGCCUCCGCGUUGUGCGUCCCAGAACCCCUUGCCUGCCCCUGAGGGAAACGCGGAGCCAUAGGCAGCGGGACGUCGGGAGCCAGCCCAGGGGAGGCCAGAUUCAGCAUUUGGACAGCGGCUCUGGGGCGCAGUCGGCCCAGCGAGUUUGCCGGUGAACAGCCUCGGGCACAUGGCGGGUAGGAGGGCCGCAGGGCUGCUCUGGGUCUUGAAGAAGCAGGACCCAGCCUAGAGGGCAUCCCCAGCUCCGAAUGGGACACGUUUUCCCGAGAUAAAAGAUCCCUUCUGAGCUCACACGGGAGCCCCGGGACCAUCCAAUCCAGCGUGGAUAUCCCCAGCCUAACCAACACCUGUGCUGGGGGGAAAGAUAAGACGCCCCCUUUCAGCCAGGAGGUGGACGACCCUCAUGCCCUCAGCUCUCCAUUCUUCCCAAAGCAGCUCGGAUCCCUAAGUCUGGAGCUGCCAGCGAGGCUUCCAACCCGCUGCUUGCCAUCACCUCCCAGGUCGUUGGUGGCUCCGAUUACUCCCCUGCUGGUGCCUCCCUCCUUGGCGCGCUUCCCACCUGCGAUCGGCGCCCUCUUCGCAGUCACGAACUCGCCAGCAGCUAGCAGCACUGACUAGUAGGAGGGCCCGCCGGAGGAGAGCCGCGCGGCCCACAGAAGCGGAACGCGCGUCGAGAGCGCCCUGUCCGCUCGCCCCAGACAGAUGCCCGGUUAUUCAUUACCGCGAGGCCUAGAGGAAAGAGUGGCUGCCGUCUUCCUGCCCACAGCCCGCCGGACCCUCCGUCGCGGCUGCCCGGUCCCCGGAGCCGCAGCCGCCGAGCCCGGCUGUGCGUGUCGUGGCUGCUGGGGAGAAAGAGGCUUCCGGACAUGCUCUGGAGUCAGAAGACAGCGAAAAGAGAAGCAGAAGCCCCGGUGGCAAGAGUCUGAAGGAAGGAUGACUGUAGCCUGUGGAUUGUACUGCAGUAGGAAACUGUCCUAGCAAGGCUCCACUUUGCCCCAGCUUCAAGCUGGAAAGGAGGAGAACAUGAAACAUUGCUUGAAGACAAUGGCCGAGACAGCAGGUCCCACCCUGCACAGCCACCAGCAUCUCUCCCCUCAGCCCUGUCUCCUCUUCUGCAGUUGGGAUCUGCACAUUUAAGCCUGAAAUUGUCCUGUGAAGUGAAGUAUGAUCGGACAGCCUCUUUUCAGCUUUUAUGACAAUGGAGACAGAGGAAUUGUGGCUCUUGCCAAGGUCACAGGAUUGGAAUACAGAGCCAAGCCACCCCAGGACAUGCAAGAGCCUCAGAAGGGAAAAAAGCCCAGCAGGAAGGGAGAACAAGUAGCCUCUGUCCUGAAGUUGUAACAGCCAGGGGCCAGGAUGGAGGAGGAGGACCCCAUAAUCUGCCCAUCUGGGACUUGGCAGGGGACCUGGGAAAAUGUACCCCAACCCAUCCCUUAAGG
rnacentral:lncRNA from 1 species